rnacentral:rRNA from 1 species
GACGUAGGGCGCGAGCGUUGUCCGGAAUUAUUGGGCGUAAAGAGCUCGUAGGCGGUUUGUCACGUCUGCUGUGAAAACUCGGGGCUUAACUCCGGGCCUGCAGUGGGUACGGGCAGACUAGAGUGCGGUAGGGGAGACUGGAAUUCCUGGUGUAGCGGUGAAAUGCGCAGAUAUCAGGAGGAACACCGGUGGCGAAGGCGGGUCUCUGGGCCGUAACUGACGCUGAGGAGCGAAAGCGUGGGGAGCGAACAGG